rnacentral:rRNA from 1 species
UACGGGGGGGCAAGCGUUGUUCGGAAUUACUGGGCGUAAAGGGCUCGUAGGUGGCCAACUAAGUCAGACGUGAAAUCCCUCGGCUUAACCGGGGAACUGCGUCUGAUACUGGAUGGCUUGAGUUCGGGAGAGGGAUGCGGAAUUCCAGGUGUAGCGGUGAAAUGCGUAGAUAUCUGGAGGAACACCGGUGGCGAAGGCGGCAUCCUGGACCGACACUGACACUGAGGAGCGAAAGCAUGGGGAGCGAACAGG